rnacentral:lncRNA from 1 species
AUGUGAAAAUUUUGAUGUGCAUUUUUAGUAUGAUAGGUAGGAUUAAACUCUAAAUUGUACAUCAUUUGUGGUAGAUCAAUUAACUUUGUGAGAUUUUGAUCCUUAUAUGGAUAACAUACAAAAUCCAUCUCUUUCUUUCCUGUGUGAUUCACUCAUAUGUGUUAGUCUCUAGAACUUGAAUUGACUCUUGUUGAUGUUGUUGUUU